UCAUAAGUAUAAUACUAUUGGUUAAAUGGUAUUGAACCUAUAAUCUAUUUAAUUUAGGUGCAAUCAUGUGGGCGAAAAAUAUAGUUACUAAUGCUGCAGCAC